GACGAACGCUGGCGGCGUGCUUAACACAUGCAAGUCGAACGGAAAGGCCCUGCUUUUGUGGGGUGCUCGAGUGGCGAACGGGUGAGUAACACGUGAGUAACCUGCCCUUGACUUCGGGAUAACUUCAGGAAACUGGGGCUAAUACCGGAUAGGAGCUCCUGCUGCAUGGUGGGGGUUGGAAAGUUUCGGCGGUUGGGGAUGGACUCGCGGCUUAUCAGCUUGUUGGUGGGGUAGUGGCUUACCAAGGCUUUAACGGGUAGCCGGCCUGAGAGGGUGACCGGCCACAUUGGGACUGAGAUACGGCCCAGACUCCUACGGGAGGCAGCAGUGGGGAAUAUUGCACAAUGGGCGGAAGCCUGAUGCAGCAACGCCGCGUGCGGGAUGACGGCCUUCGGGUUGUAAACCGCUUUCGCCUGUGACGAAGCGUGAGUGACGGUAAUGGGUAAAGAAGCACCGGCUAACUACGUG
rnacentral:rRNA from 1 species